GUGGAAAUAUGGACUGCAGCGGUGUUGCACUUGGUUUGGAUGUGGAUAAUAGUUUUGGACAAAUGAUUUGGCAGAACCUCCCUUCCAUGGUGCAUCUGGAUCUCCUGUCCUCUAAAGGUUCUCCUCAGCUCCCGGAGAUGCUCCUAUCGCCUUUGUUCCAGGAUUCACAUCCCAAAGCCUUUCUGCUGUCAAGCCCAGAGCCAUUACUCACCCUUCUCUCCUUGAACAGAAACUCACCAGGUACUCCUGCUGGUGCUUCACAAAUGCGUUUCAUGCCCACACUUGAAGACAAAGGACAAGACGGGGUCGAGCCCAGUCACAACCUCACACCUCUGCGACAUGGUUGUUCUACAAGAGAUUGCCAAGCUGGCACCAAAUCACUUUCACGCAGCAGGAAGAACAAUGCUUUAAACCAAACACUGGUUAGAACUAUGGAGGAACUGAAGGAAGGACUGAUGAUUCAGUCAUUGUGGCAUCUCUCCCAGCACAUUUCAUUGGCAAAUCGAGCCAGUCAUUUACAACAGAGGGUGCUGGCGAUGCUUGGUGAACAUGCUUCUAGGCACUAUAGCCACCAACUGAAUGGUUUGAAGAAGGAACUUCUUGAAGCACGCCAUUCCCCCAAGAUCCCCAUGACACCAGAGUGUCUUUUUGAGACUUUUAAUGGUGUAGAGAUGCAGGAAGCAGAGCAGGCUCUUAUAAGAAACCUCCAGUACCCUCAAGCACAUGGGCAACCUCUGAAAUCCAGAGAUUUGCAGAAUUUAGCACACAAUGGUCAAGCUGUUCUGCAUGGAGUGCUGGAGGCUCUGGACUCAGACGCCACCGGAAGCAGCUCAGAUGAGGAGUGGGACCAUGAAGAUGCCAAAGGGACCUCAGUGGAUUCACAGGUCAUGUGAUUUUGGCAGUGUCUCAGCCCCUGACGGACAGGCAGAUUCAACACACCUUGUGGACAGAGACUAUGGAUCUUUCAUUCACAGCCGGGAACAUGCAAGAUUUGCACUCUGAUCUAGAUAUGGAACCCAGCAGCCCCACACGCCUUCUGAGGAACAUUGAGAGACAGGUGAACGAAAGAAAACCACAGGCGGCAAGAACAUAAAUAAGACAAGAUA
rnacentral:lncRNA from 1 species